rnacentral:rRNA from 1 species
UACAGAGGUCUCGAGCGUUGUUCGGAUUCAUUGGGCGUAAAGGGUGCGUAGGUGGCGCUGUAAGUCAGGUGUGAAAUUUCGGAGCUUAACUCCGAAACUGCAUUUGAUACUGCGGUGCUUGAGGACUGGAGAGGAGACUGGAAUUUACGGUGUAGCAGUGAAAUGCGUAGAGAUCGUAAGGAAGACCAGUGGCGAAGGCGGGUCUCUGGACAGUUCCUGACCAGCUGAGGCACGAAGGCCAGGGGAGCAAACGGG